AGUGAACGCUGGCGGUAGGCCUAACACAUGCAAGUCGAACGGCAGCACAGUAAGAGCUUGCUCUUACGGGUGGCGAGUGGCGGACGGGUGAGGAAUACAUCGGAAUCUACUUUUUCGUGGGGGAUAACGUAGGGAAACUUACGCUAAUACCGCAUACGACCUACGGGUGAAAGCAGGGGAUCUUCGGACCUUGCGCGAUUGAAUGAGCCGAUGUCGGAUUAGCUAGUUGGCGGGGUAAAGGCCCACCAAGGCGACGAUCCGUAGCUGGUCUGAGAGGAUGAUCAGCCCCACUGGAACUGAGACCCGGUCCAGACUCCUACGGGAGGCAGCAGGGGGGAAUAUUGGACAAUGGGCGCAAGCCUGAUCCAGCCAUACCGCGUGGGUGAAGAAGGCCUUCGGGUUGUAAAGCCCUUUUGUUGGGAAAGAAAAGCAGCAGGUUAAUACCCCGCUGUUCUGACGGUACCCAAAGAAUAAGCACCGGCUAACUUCGUG
rnacentral:rRNA from 1 species